CACUACUGUCCACUACUGCACACUGACAAACGUCGAUGGUCUUACAGCUUUCAGACCUGAGAGCACGCUCAAGAACAUCAGGGACUUUGGACUGAGAAGCAAUGAGCAGAAAACGAACACGUGAAGUCACUCGACUCGAGCAGCGGGAGCGAGCAACAGCACAACGUUGACCUCCUCACCAAACCUAGAGUGUGUUAAGAAGGUAGCCGUUCCCAGCUGUGCACCCUCCCUUUGUGCAGACCAUGCACGAUACGAGGGCACUGGG